rnacentral:rRNA from 1 species
UACGUAGGGUGCAAGCGUUGUCCGGAAUCAUUGGGCGUAAAGAGCGUGUAGGCGGCCCCUUAAGUCCUGCGUGAAAUCCUGCGGCUCAACCGCAGACGGUCGUGGGAAACUGGAGGGCUAGAGUGCGGGAGAGGAGAGUGGAAUUCCCGGUGUAGCGGUGAAAUGCGCAGAUAUCGGGAAGAACACCCGUGGCGAAGGCGGCUCUCUGGAACGCAACUGACGCUGAGACGCGAAAGCGUGGGAGCAAACAGG